UACAGAGGGGGCAAGCGUUGUUCGGAAUUACUGGGCGUAAAGGCGCGUAGGCGGCCUGUUAAGUCGAACGUGAAAUCCCUGGGCUCAACCCAGGAACUGCGUCCGAUACUGGAUGGCUUGGAAUUCGGGAGAGGGAUGCAGAAUUCCAGGUGUAGCGGUGAAAUGACGUAGAUAUCUGGAGGAAUACCGGUGGCGAAGGCGGCAUCCUGGACCGAGAUUGACGCUGAUGAGCGAAAGCUAGGGGAGCAAACGGGG
rnacentral:rRNA from 1 species